ACCACUUUAGCAUAAACUUCAUCCACUUUCUUACUAUUUUCUACUGCUAUUAACUCUAGUACUGACCAUGUCUGUUUCAACGCAAAGGAAGAUUUUAAAUGUUUUCCAGUGGCUUCCAUUAAUAUGUUUUCAGAGUUAAGGCCCUUUAGAGUAAUUUACUUUCGGCCAGAUGAUCAAUCCAUAAGCAUUUUCCCAUGCACUUAUAUACACUCGGGGCAUACUUAUUACAAGAACUCAAAACGCAGUGUUUAUAACAUGAUGUGUAAAACACAACAAUCAAAACGUAAAACCCAUUAUUACAUCCGUUCCUUUUACAUGAGAUGCACCAUCCCAAAAUGCCUCGUUUCAUAUUUUCUACUUUCCUCCUUUCCAGCCGUUAAUACCGUUGCUCGCAUCAUAACACUCCCACAAUGGAGGCUCAAGACUGUUAAGCCGUUAUUUUGAUAUAUAUCUUGCUUGACCAAGAGUCGAGUAAGAGUCGAAUUCACUCUCCCAUUGGAAUAAUAGUACUAACCUUUCAAAAUAUGUGUCGGUUUUUAGGAAUAAGGAACCAAUAAUCGGAAGGAAGCACGCAAAAAGUGGUCACAUAUAUAACAAGAUAACAGGCCGGACUUACACCCUCACUACAACAGCGACAAUCUCAAUAGAUAUCCCUUGCCGAGUGGAGCUAGCACGACUCUGGCCAACAUGUCUAGCUUUAACCAUACAUGCAUCAUGUUAUUGUUACUCAUUCUUGUUUCUAUUGAUGAUAUAUAUAGUUGCAAUUCGAGGCAUAGUCAACAAGGGGUUUCAACUCCGUUUUGAUAUCGAUGUACCCAUUCUUAUCUCGAUCAGCCUGACCAAAUCCCUUCAUUGCUCUAAACCAAGGCCAACGUGAUCCGAGUUCGUGAAAGGCCGCCUUCACCUCCGACCUCGAAAGUCUGCCAUCUUUGUUGUCAUCGUGCUUCUCGAAAAUGGCCUUUAACUCCGCUUCAGUGCAGGGGACUUGAUCACCCUUAUAUUUUCUUUGCUCAGAGUACUCUACCACAGUGGGGGGCAACCUACCCAUUUUAUAAGGGACCACGAAAUCUUGUAGCGACUCUUGGGUGAAGAUGUUAAAGGAUUACUCGCUCUUGUCAAGUAAGCUUCUUCGAUACAAGUGGCCCCAAAUCAGGUGUUCCGAGAGAACUUAUCGCCCGUGAGACAGUGAGAAUCCAUAUAACUUUGAUGGGGCGGGAAUCAUAGGUAUGUGAUUGUCGGGGUCAAAUCAGCAGCUUAAAACUUAUCUCCAGGACAAAGCCGAAAAUCAAUCCAAGAGUUUGCCUGUUUGUAUACACUUGCACAAUACGAUGGGAUGUAUAGUUCGUGUAGUCAUCAUCUCGGUAUCACGAGUUCCACCAAACUGCAUGUGGGGGUCGAGGGCGCUACAGAUAACGACACCAAAGGACCUUUCCUAAAUUUCUCUAGUGUAUUGAGAGAUAUGUGAGGCCAUGAGAGAUUGUAAAAUCUCCCAUUAUAAUGGAUUUCACUCCCAAA